UACGUAGGGGGGCAAGCGUUUGUCCGGAUUUAUUGGGCGUAAAGAGCUCGUAGGUGGUUCGGUAAGUCGGAUGUGAAAUCUCCAGGCUCAACCUGGAGGGGGUCAUUCGAUACUGCCGUGACUAGAGGUCGGUAGGGGAGUGUGGAAUUCCUGGUGGAGCGGUGAAAUGCGCAGAUAUCAGGAGGAACACCGAUGGCGAAGGCAGGUCUCUGGGCAUUAACUGACGCUGAGGAGCGAAAGCAUGGGGAGCGAACAGG
rnacentral:rRNA from 1 species